rnacentral:rRNA from 1 species
GACGAACGCUGGCGGCGUGCCUAAUACAUGCAAGUCGAACGCAGUGGGGACGGGUGAGUAACACGUGGGUAACCUCCCGUCAGAGGGGAUAACACUUGGAAACAGGUGCUAAACCGAUACUGAUGGAUGGACCCGCGGUGCAUUAGCUAGUUGGUGAGGUCACGGCGCACCAAGGCCACGAGGCAUAGCGGUGCUGAGAGGUGGAUCGGCCACACUGGGACUGAGACACGGCCCAGACUCCUACGGGAGGCAGCAGUAGGGAAUCUUGGGCAAUGGACGAAAGUCUGACCGAGCAACGCCGCGUGAGUGAAGAAGGUUUUCGGAUUGUAAAGCACUGUUGGUAGAGAAGCGGUAUCUAACCAGAAAGCAACGGCUAACUACGUGCCAGCAGCCGCGGUAAUUC